UUAGCUGAAGCCAAAUAGGCAAGUUACUGUUAAUAACUAAUUGGACACUAUAUUAGUCCCUACUAAG
rnacentral:tRNA from 1 species